GAUGAAGAACGAAGCGAAAUGCGAUAAGUAAUGUGAAUUGCAGAAUUCAGUGAAUCAUCGAAUCUUUGAACGCACCUUGCGCCCUUUGGCCAUUCCGAAGGGCAUGCCUGUUUGAGUAUCAUGAACACCUCAACUCUUUAUGGUUUUCCAUGAUGAGCUUGGACUCUGGGGGUUUUGCUGGCUCACAGUCGGCUCCUCUAAAAUGAAUCAGCUUACCAGUGUUUGGUGGGUAUCAUGGGUGUGAUAACUAUCUACGCUUGUGGUUUUUCCACCAGGUAACCUUCAGCAGUGGAGGUUCGCUGGAGCUCAUAGAUGUCUCUCCUCAGUGAGGACAGCCCUUUGAAUGUUUGAUCUCAAAUCAGGAAGGACUACCCGCUGAACUUAAGCAUAUCAAUAAGCGGAGGA
rnacentral:misc_RNA from 1 species